rnacentral:rRNA from 1 species
GACGAACGCUGGCGGCGUGCUUAACACAUGCAAGUCGAACGGAAAGGCCCUGCUUUUGUGGGGUGCUCGAGUGGCGAACGGGUGAGUAACACGUGAGUAACCUGCCCUUGACUUUGGGAUAACUUCAGGAAACUGGGGCUAAUACCGGAUAGGAGCUCCUGCUGCAUGGUGGGGGUUGGAAAGUUUCGGCGGUUGGGGAUGGACUCGCGGCUUAUCAGCUUGUUGGUGGGGUAGUGGCUUACCAAGGCUUUGACGGGUAGCCGGCCUGAGAGGGUGACCGGCCACAUUGUUACUGAGAUACGGCCCAGACUCCUACGGGAGGCAGCAGUGGGGAAUAUUGCACAAUGGGCGGAAGCCUGAUGCAGCAACGCCGCGUGCGGGAUGACGGCCUUCGGGUUGUAAACCGCUUUCGCCUGUGACGAAGCGUGAGUGACGGUAAUGGGUAAAGAAGCACCGGCUAACUACGUG